CCAGAGGCACAGCUGACCUCUUGAGUGAGGAGGGGGUGAGGAGAAGGGGCUCUCCCGUUAACGCAGCCGGGCGGCGGGAAAGGAAACUUCGGUGAAGCCAGAGCCACGGAAGAGACGGUCGGCAGCGUGGGUGUUUCCCGUCCGAAGCCCGCCAGAAAUAGUGCCGCCUUUUUGGCAGCGUGCGCUCAGGGGGCGCGGUGGGAGGACGGGUGUUUCGCCAGAUAGAAAGGCACGGAACUGGCGAUGUCACCAGUGCUGGGGUGCAGCGGACAGGAGCGGGGCUCGGCGUGUGCUGAGCCAGGGGCUGGGUCGAGCUGUGACGACUCUAGAGGGAUACCUUCAGAGCAUUUCUCUCACAGUCAUCAUCACAGAACCUGAACAUCUCAGUCUAUUAAAGUAAAACUAGUCUUUUGAAUACAACUAUUCAUAUGUUCGCUGUGCCAGGAACAUCUUUCAUACACACCCUCUAAACUAUUAACCCAAGAUGGAUAGCUACAAAAGGAAACAAGUUCAGUCUAAUUAAUUGGAUGGCCCAGCUAACAAAUGGCAAAGACACAAGGAGGCCUGCAAUGACUGCAACAGUGGUGUCCCAGGGAACAGCCCUGCCUUCCCUUAAAAAACGAACAGUAAUUUCUGGUAAAGCAUUUGCUUCUCCAUUAUAUAACUGAAGAGUUUCAAAUUUCUCC